GAAGAUGAGUAUCUUGUAAAGAGGGAUAGGAGAAUUGGAGGGCAAGUUUGGUGCCAGCAGCCGCGGUAAUACCGACUCCAAGAGUGUGUAUGAGAGAUGCUGCAGUUAAAAAGUCCGUAGUCAUAGAAGGGCAAAGAGAGAUGCGAGGUCUCACAGUGCGAUGAUGGAGGAGCCGAUGGGGAACAUAGUAUACCAGGGCGAGAGAUGAAAUGCCAAGACCCCUGGUGGACUGAGCGAGGCGAAGGCGAUGUUCUUGUAGGCAUUCGGUGAUCAAGGACGAAGGCUGGAGUAUCGAAAGUGAUUAGAUACCGCAGUAGUUCCAGCAGUAAAAGAUGCCGACAUGCUCAUUGGACACAGUGGGCAGGGAGAAAUCUUAGAGUUCGGGCUCUGGGGAUAGUAUGCUCGCAAGGGUGAAAAUUAAAGAAAUUGACGGAGCUACACCACAAGGAGUGGAUUGUGCGGCUUAAUUUGACUCAACGCGAGGAAACUUACCAGGGCCAAGUAUUGUGUAGAAACGAGCAAUACAGGAGUGGUGCAUGGUCGUUGGAAAUUGAUGGGAUGACUUUGACCUUAAAUGGUUGAAUGAGUGAGAUCUUUUGGACAUGUUCCGCACGGAACAGGAAGGAAAAGGCUAUAACAGAUCCGAGAUGCCCUCAGAUGCCCUGGGCUGCACGCGCAAUACAAUAGCAGGUAGAGAGAGAGACAGGAAGGUGCUCAGAUGGACUAUGUGCUGUAAGGCACAUACGAAAGAGGAAUUCCUAGUAACUGUGU
rnacentral:rRNA from 1 species